AGAGGAGGCCACGAUGUCUGGGAAGACUGGCAAGAACUCUGCCCAGUAGAGACCCUCCAUGGAUGCAAUGGAAGCAACUAACUCAACCAAAUUAUUUCUAUUCUUAAUUUAAGCCAAUAAUAGUAUCUCCAUUGUAUUUGCCUACAACUGGUUCAGGGAAAGGUGGAUGGUCGCCAGCUGGGACCACUGGCACGGGAGGAGAGCCUUGCUUGUGUUUGUUGGAGAAAAGAAGCCAGGCCCAUUCCUCUUCCUUGGUAUUAACUGUGUCAGUUUGACUUUGGAAACUGCUGUAACUGCCUGACUUCCUGCCUGAGAAUGAAGUCAACUCUGCUCAUGUCCAAACAGAUGAAAAGAAAGAAUUGAGUCCCUGAUGACAUCACUGAGUGAGAUGCUGCAGAAGACUAACUCAGGGCUCCUGGGACUCCUGAAGGGCUGUUAUAUGUUAGUGUGAACUUCCUUUUUGUUUUUGCGUAAGCCAAUUUAAUUCUGGCCUUUGUUAUUUUUGUGGCCAGAACAUUCCUAUAAAAUAAAUCUAUGUUUAAAAAAUAUGGAAAUGGUACACAAAGAGGAAGAAACAAGGUAGCAAAUGCAAAACUAGUCCUAAAUGUAUGAAAAGUCCCAUUUCAGAGAAGUGGGGAAAAUAGUUAUUUACUUCGUGGUAUUGGGGCAAACUCCCUGGAUUUUUGGAAUCAAGCAAUGCUUGACCACUACAUCUUUGUAUCAAAAUAAAUUCUGGUUGUGGAAUUUAUGAAGUAUUGUCAAAUAUUUAAAAGGAAAAUAAAAUUAAACUAUAAAAGUA